rnacentral:rRNA from 1 species
UGACUUAUGUGAUGUCGUAAGGGAGAAUAAUGAUAUUACCUUACUAAUAGUGUCGUCUAAAACUGGUGCCAGAAGACUCGGUAAGGCCAGAGACACAAAUGUUAAUCGUCUUAAACAGGCGUAAAGGGUUUGUAGGCUGCUUUGAAAGUAUUGAUUUAAUAGCCGAAGUACAUUA